AUUGAACGCUGGCGGCAGGCCUAACACAUGCAAGUCGAGCGGAGCGGCGGACGGGUGAGUAAUGCCUAGGUAUCUGCCUGGUCGUGGGGGAUAACGUCCGGAAAUGGGCGCUAAUACCGCAUCCUAUCAGUUGAGCCUAGGACGGAUUAGCUAGUUGGUGGGGUAAAGGCCUACCAAGGCGACGAUCCGUAGCUGGUCUGAGAGGAUGAUCAGUCACACUGGAACUGAGACACGGUCCAGACUCCUACGGGAGGCAGCAGUGGGGAAUAUUGGACAAGGGGCGAAAGCCUGAUCCAGCCAUGCCGCGUGUGUGAAGAAGGUCUUCGGAUUGUAAAGCACUUUAAGUUGGGAGGCGUUACCAACAGAAUAAGCACCGGCUAACUACGUGCCAGCAGCCGCGGUAAUUC
rnacentral:rRNA from 1 species